AGCUUAGUUGACAAAGCGCUCGUCUAGCAUACAAGAGUCCUGGGUUCAAAUCCCAG
rnacentral:tRNA from 1 species